AACGAACGCUGGCGGCACGUUUUAAGCAUGCAAGUCGAAUGGCAGUGGGGGCAACCCCAUGAGAAUGGCGAACGGGUGAGUAACACGUAGGUGAUCUGCCUGACGGAUGGGGAUAGCUUGUGGAAACACAGGGUAAUACCGAAUGAGCUGACGAGACUUUGGUUUUGUUAGUAAAGGUGCUACGGCACCGCCGACAGAGGAGCCUGCGGCUGAUUAGCUAGUUGGUGGGGUAAAGGCCUACCAAGGCGACGAUCAGUAGCCGGCCUGAGAGGGUGUACGGCCACACUGGAACUGAGACACGGUCCAGACUCCUACGGGAGGCAGCAGCUAAGAAUCUUCCGCAAUGGGCGAAAGCCUGACGGAGCGAUGCCGCGUGAUCGAUGAAGGUCGAGAGAUUGUAAAGAUCUUUUCUACAUGAGGAAUAAGUCUGGGAGGGAAUGCCUGGAUGAUGACGUUAGUGUAGGAAUAAGCCCCGGCUAAUUACGUGCCAGCCGCCGCAGUAA
rnacentral:rRNA from 1 species